GGAAAAAUAUAUAUUAAUAUACCCGUGGUCUCACGUGAGAAACUUGUAGGCAACGAUUUGGGAUUCAGAGCCGUACUCGUAUUCCUAAGACUAAAUUCAAAGCCAUCGUUUAAAAGCAAGCUUGCACACGCGUAUAUCCUGAUCUUUAAUUAGGCAAAACUCCCACUGACAUCAAUAGGAGUUUGACUUGAAUAAGAACUGCAGGAUCAGGUCCAUAAUUUGGUACCUGGGAUUUGAUUAAGCAACUAAAUUACUAGAACAGUUUCCCCAUGAGUAUAAUUGCCUAAUUAAUUUUUAAAAUAGCUAAGUUCAGCACUGAAUAUGGUGUACCUCUUGCCACAUGAAAUGUAUGCUGUUUAAUCCAAGUUGAUGGAGCUAUUUGCAAGAGCCUGUAGAGUUUAUUUUAGAGUUAAGUAGUACUGUUUAUUUAAAGUUCAAAAAUAGCCACCAUUGUGUUAAAAUAUAAUGUUUCAGAAAAUAUGCUCUUGUAAUAGACUUUACUCAUAGUCUAGUUUGGUUAUUAGCACUUCAAAUGUAAUUUAAAGAGUAGUGCUCUAGUGCAUCCUAAUUCUUGAGUUCUGGCUACUGUGAUUCAUUUUGCAGGUGGGAAAAAACCUCUGGAGGUUGGGGAAGAACUUAUUGUCUGGCAGGAUUUUUAAAUUCAAUGCUUUGAAAAGUUGUUUGUCCUAUCAAUGAUCUUUUUGUUUUGUUUCUGAUCCUCCAACAUAAUGCUUGUAGUAGAUGAUAUAUAUGUAUACACAUGCGUGUGUGUGUUCAAAUAAGUGUAUAUAAUUAAUUUUUCUGAAGUUUCAGUCUGACACUGUGGGCUGCAGCUGAUAUACUUGCUGCAGCAGGACUUGCUUUCACAGCUGAAAGACUUUUUGUUUGCAUUUUGGUUUUGUCUGUGUUUUUUUUAAGCAGAGGUCUUGUUAAGCAAAAGGAAUAGAGAGAUCAUACAUGAGUAUCCUAAGUGGAAAUUGCAGAAAGAAUUGCAGUGCCAAAAAGUAGAAGCUCUUCUCCCUGAAUGUAUAUAUUUAUGCCUGUGUGUGUUUAUGUGUGUGUCUGUGUAUAUAGACAUAAAUAAUUAGGCUUGUAGUUGGCAUAGUGCAUAAUGCCUUCUCAUGCUGUUGACAGUUACUUAAUAAUGCACAUUCUCCCAUUCUCUCCAGCUGAAUUCUUAAGGCAUUACCAUGGGAAUUUUCCUUUUCUGGGGAUUGUAACAGAGCUCCAGGACUAGCUGUUUUUGUGAUGUGCUUCUUGACUGGUUGGAGUAGCCCUUAUUCAGGAACUCCAUCCAAGCAUCUCCUGUAGAGAAUGAAACCAUCAGCUGUCCCCCAGGCAGUGCUCCACACCGCAGCAGCACAUAACGAACGGCCUCAGCAGGUGAUAAGAAAGGCAUGAGAACAGGCUGGAAGGAGAAUGAACUACUGAGGGGCCCAAGCUGAAAGAAAUAAAGACUUCCAGUACAUCACCCUGACAGUAAAGAACGAAGAAAAAGUGAAGUCUGAUACAAGAAGUGCGAUUGCCCCAUUUUACAGAUGAGGAGGCAGUGGCUGGCUGAGAAAGAAGUUGCUGAAGACUGUUUGUCCAGAUGACUAUAGCAAUAUGGGUGGACAGAGAGUGUGUGUCUCUGCAUGGAUUUAGCAGAAGCCAGGUGUGAGAGGAUUUAGAGGUUAUUAUGGAAAAAGCCUUGUGAUCAGACUAUUACAUGGCUGCUGUAAAAUAGGCAAACAAGUUAAUGGGCUAUAUCUGCAGAGGAAAGAGCACACAUUCCAACUCUGCUGCAGCCCCUAUAAGGACGUGGAGCUGUAUUUACUGUCAUAAGUUUUUUCUGGGGAUGGUAUGGCCAACUCCAAAGGGCUGUAUGGAUUUCAGGAAAACUUGGUGCUCUGAACUUGCUAACUUCAGCAGGCAUCCAACACGUGCUUUGGAGAAGGUGAUUAUUCUCUGUCACUGGGGCAGGUAUCUUUUCCUGUGAAGAUUUCUGCUGCCUUCAAGGAGUGAUGUCCUAAACGGAUGGUCAGAGUGGAGUCCUCUUGUAUUCUCUCAGCAUGAUUUUUUAAAAUAAUGUCCUUAAUUAUUAACUAGUCUGAAGCUUUGUUUUCUUGUGAAGCUGUUGCUACCCUUUUGAAUCAAAUUAUUUGGAAGUAACACAUUUAGCCCAUGUUCUGGAGGGAAACUGGUACCAUUGUUUUCAAGAUAUCAGAGGAAGUGGCUAGCAGUCACUCUGGUCACCAAGCCCUGUAAAUCAGGCACUGACUGAUCUUUGGGGAUUGCUCUAGUGCCCAGUGUCAAUGACUGCAAAACUGCCUGAAAACUCUUACCGUAAAUUCCUGAAUCUAUCCACAGCGAGCUGGAAAGCAACGUUGUCUCACAGAUGGAUUUACCAUGGACUAACUCAGCAUACUGCCCUGCUCCCUUUGGCAGCAGGAAUCAGAACUUCAACCUUUGACUGGAAAAGAAAGAAACAGCACUGUUUGAGCUUGAAAUAACAGUAAUACAAAAAUCUUAGCAGCAGCCUUCAUAGCAUUAGAUGAAGACUAUUUUCUUAGAGGCCCUAUCACUGGUAGAGAGGUGCAGUAACAGUCUACAGAGGAAGUUCUGUUACCAAAGUGAAGUGCCUUGAUGUCAUUCUGAGGACUCCAUCUGAAGGAAGGACAGUAGCUGCUACUAUUGCAAAACAGAAGAGAUUUCCCUUUAAGAAUCAUGAGGAAUAUGUGGACCAGCAGCUAUCCCUGAACCUUUGCCCCCGGCUUGUUCAAAUUUCAACAGGACCUUUUGUGAUUCCUGUUUUCAAGUUAGCAGGAAGCUUGUGCUGAAAACAUGGCACAUCAGCUGGAAACUCUUCCCUGAUGAGUACUGAGCUGGCGGCUUCUGAGCUUCCAGUAUCAGAAGCGAAGCUGAUGCUGAGUGACCAAACUUUGGAGUGUGUCCUCUUUAGCUGUUCACCAUCACUGUCUCUGAGGGCCCACACAGAGGAGUCUGUAGGUGACACUGGCUACAAAGGCCCAGUUCUUGACCUUGAUGAGCUUAACAUGCUCAGAUCCUCUGGUAUCUUAGCAUGACCUGGAGUUGUGGGGCCCUUCUAAGCCCUGCCAGCCUGAGCCUUGCAAUAUCCUAACUAAUCAGAUCAAUCUGAAAACCUGAAGCUUGUUCUUUCUCCUCCCAGGUAAAGAAUACUCUUUUUUCCUGAGGUAUAUUAUCUCUGAAUACUUGUUUGACUGUGAGCUGAAUAACUAAAAAACAUUCAUAUUCUCAUCAGACAGAGAUGACUUAUUAAGAUGAAAAUUGUUAGAUAGCAGUAUAAUUUGAUUGAAGGGCAGUAUAUGCCGUUAGGUUCUGAGUUUUUCCAAAGAAGUUGAAAACAUGUCAGAUCUCAAUCUGGAUCCUUACUUGUCCAGGUGGAAGUCACAGUCCUAUGUUACCAAAGCUUUUGCAAGCUUUUCUUACAAGCAUAUUAAACCCCAGUGUUGCCAUAUUUCAUAUGGCAAUAAUUAUGUCCUUUGCCUCUGUUCUGGGUAAUGUUUAGCUUUAUUAUAAUUAUUAUUACUUGCUACUGUUCUGUUGGGAGCACUAGUUUGCAUUUAAUUAUGGAUCAUUUGCAAAUAACCUUUAUGGCCCUGAUUCAGCAAACAUUUCUAGCAGGUGUGUAAUUUUAAAGAAUGAGCCAAUUUAUGUCCGUGUAGCUCAGAUUCUCACUUGUAUUUUGUGCCUAGCAUCCACUGAUUUCAUAAACCCGAGAUCUGAAAAAUGCCUGCAUGCAUGUCAGAGCUGUGCAUGUUGUUUUAACUCCAUGACCUACUUAGUAGGUGUGACGUUGAGGCCCAAGAUUGCCCAGCAUGUCAUGUGUUAAAUCAGCACCUUAAAUGAGACUGAAGCUGCACCUGGCAAUCUAUUAGCAUUAUAUAGGACUCCAGGAUUUUGAGACUUCUUAGAAAGAGAAGCUAGGCUUUUUGUCAGCUUAGCAGAAAGUACGACCCCCUAUCUUGCAUGCUUUCCUUGACUUAAUAUAAAUUUUAGUAAGAAGCAUCUACACCAAAAGUUAAACUUGGCUAAAUUGCCAUGGAGCAGGAUAUGCCAGACACAUACAGAAUAUUGAAUAAUUUAAUUGGCUGUUUGGAAAUGCAUAAUAAAAUAUAGGGUGUGUGAGUUAUUAGUUAGCUGCCUAUGUAAUUACUGCUGUUUAAUAUUUAAUUGUGUUGAUCUUUCUGUCUUGUCUUUGUUCCGCACAGAAAAUAGAUCCCUCUUAUUGUCUCUUCACAGGCACUGGGCUACUGGGUAGUGGGUUUUGUGGCUAAUCUUUCUGAUUGUUCAAAUGUCACCAUAAAAUAUUUAGCAUGUUGAUAACUCUGAAGCUAUCACAACAGAUUGGAUGGUAACAAUUAAAAUUAUGCUAACAUCACUAAAACAGAUAUAACGUAGUGAUGCUUGUUAAGCACUUAAUGAUCUCUUUCUCCAAGGAAUUCCAUUUCAAUUUCUUUAUGCUGCCUGAUUGCUUUACUGCGUCCUGCAGGUUUUUGUGCACUACUGCUCUGUGUAAUACAUAUUCAAACCCUUCUCUGCAGCUCUCAUCAUGCCAAUCAAGGAUGCAAAUGGAGGUCUGUAUGACUGUGAUCAGAAUUUCUUGCUUGUUUGCAAGCCUGUAAAUAAUGGAGUGAAUAAAGAUCUGAUGUGUAACAGUAUAAAAGUAAUCAGACCUUGUAUCUGGCUUCUAGUAAACAUUAGUAUGGCCCCAAUCCAACUGCUACUGUAAUCAAUGAGAGGCCUUUAUUGCCUUUAAUAGAAGUUGAAUUAGGCCUUGUCUGUGGUUUGAAAAUUCAGCUGCAGAUCUUGGGGCUGAUCCUUGGCUGGCUUAACCUGGUUUUGUGCUCCUGGCAAUCAAAGGGCCGUUCUGACUUACCCUGCUGAGGAUGCAGCAAGUAGCACCCUUUCCUGAGUUCCUGCUCUGGUCCCACAUACACUUGGGUAGUGCUUUUAUCCAGGGGAAGCUCUGGGGUUUGCUUCAUUCAGCUAUUCACUUAGGAGUUUAGAUUUCUCCAUGAACAGUGUUUAAAAUGUAUAAUUAUCUUUGGAAAAAAAUAUUUCACUUGAAAGGGAUUCUAAUAAUAAUUAUUUUGAACUUCCGUAGUUUGACAUUUUUAUUGGUUAUAAAGGAACAAUGUCUUCUACUUUAUUUUGGCUGCAAGGGAAAAAUGAGCCUAAUUAGGAAAAAUAAAAAUAAACUAAGUUGGUAGAAAAAGAGGUUCUUACAAAUUUGCAGACCUUUUCCUGCAAAUGCCUAUAUCAAAAACUAUGAAGGUUUUAUAAAGUGUCCCUGCUUCGGGGUUUUGUUGGGUGAAUGGGCAGAGAAGCUAGUAACUCUAUGUGGACGGAAGGAUUUCUGAAUGUAAUUUUGUAGAUCAUCUAUAUUAUGAACCACUUAGAGCUGUGAUACCCUUCCUGUUUCUUAAGUACUUCAGUGAGUAUAAAAAACCCUGUAAAAUUAUUUAAGCUGAGACUUAUUCUGGCUUUUCUGCUUUGCAAGCAUAUAGAAAACACAUCCUUGGGAAGUCUUCUGUCCAGCUGAGCUCUCCAAGGACAGGCUUGAAAGCAUAUUAGAUUGAUGUUCUGGAGCAGCUCCAAGAAUGCUUGGCCAGUGUGUGAUGGCAACUGUACCUACCCUGGAAAUAAGGCAAAUGUAUGCCUACUUUUGAGCUGUAUUAUUUUUUAAUAGGCUUACUCCACAACAGUGAAAAUCAUCAUAGUGUUCUUUCCUUCAACAUGGUGAAGCUGAUUUAUACCAGCUGAAUAUCUUGAGUCUCCACCUCUUUACGUAUCCAUAGGCACCACUGGUUGGUGUGUGGUGUUUGGUGGUGUCAUGUUUGGUUUUGUGUAUGUUUUUUUCUUUUCCCACUUAACUGUUAUUUCCAACAAAGGCAGCGGAGCAAGUUGAAGGCAGGUAUUUCAGUGAGAAAUCUGUCCUGCAUGUAGGGAAGCACUUGGCUGUGGUGGGAAGCAGGGUACAAUGACCCUGUCAUCUCUUGGCAGAUGUGGAAAUGGCAGUGGUGUGGCUUGGCUUUCAGCAAGAUGCUCUUAUGCUCAGCCUGGGAGUCACCUGGGGCAAGUGCUUGGCCAGGUGAAUGUCUGCCCACAGAAAAACAUCUGUUCUGGUGUCCUCUGGAUCCCAUAUACCUCCUGUGCAUCCCACUAGCUUUUCCCUGCUCCCAGCUGACCUGUUGGCCUCUAUGUGAGACACAGCAAUUGGAGAAGUUAGGGUGGACUUCUGGGUCCUGCUGUGCUCAUGGCAGUUCUGGUACAGCCUUGUUUAGAAGUGAACUCCUUCCAGGAGAUCUAAAAAUACUUUAAAAUUCAUUUGAGAAUUCCUGCUUCAAUCUGGCCAUUGAGUGUUGCUAUAAAUAAAUUCUCUGCUGCUCCAGUUUUCAAAAGGAAGGCUUGUUUGCAUGGCACUACUAGGCUAUUUCUGGUUUUCAGACCUAAACCAUGAAACAACAGGAUCUGCUGAGCUUUACAGGAGACUUUUAUUUCUGGUUUGUUCUGUAAAAUCUUGUCUUUGGAGAUAAGUUCCAUGAGGUAGCUGAUGAUAACCCCCUUACAAAAAUGCUGUUUGCCACUUACCUGUUUUCUAACUUCUGACGUGUUUUAUUUAUAGUAAAUUAAAGCAAAAAGGUAAAAUGUUUUUUAUUUUCCUACUUUCCUGUGUUCUGUAUUCAUAGGCUUUAAUAUCUGCCCUCCAUCCUCUUCCCAUAUUCAUUAAAUAUCAAAAAAGCAGCAAUAAGCACAGAUGCUAUGGCUCAUCUUUCUGCCAUUGUAUGCUUGUCUUGAGCAUUUGACUGUGAAAAAUUUGGUAACCAUUGUUUGUAAGUGAAAAUUGUCUCUGAUUUUUAUUUUUCUUCUGUGAUGACUUUGGAAUUACACUCUUUCUCUUAUUUUUUUAAUGAUUCUGGUUCAUGGCAUUAUUGGAAGAGCCUAAGAAAUGAAGACAAACUCAACCAAAACACAGAGGAGAAGUGAAGAUACCCAGAGAACAGUCAUGAGGGAGUAAGGUUAGAGCCAGAGGGGUCUGCAGAGCAAGCCAGGUGGUAGAGGAUUUGCUUGCAAGAAUGACUACAGUUUACCUGUCUGACACCAAGCUACUAGAUGGGUCUUUCAUGCAUUGUUUUAAAAGAUUAAUGUUCAGCAGAAAAGAAUUGCAAACUUGUGACAGUUCUCUUUAAAAAUCAAGGACCAUAUUCAUUGUUUCAUCUUAGGGGUAAGUAUGACACAAAUCAGUGUAAGAAAGGAAGAGAAUUCAGUAAACUGGUUUACUAAAGGCAGUGUGUUGAGAAGAUGUAGUGCAACAGCUGCUGUUUGGAAUUUCCAAAUCAUUGAGCUAGCUGUGGUGAGAUGAAUUUAGGGCCGAAUCAUGCUCAGCAAUAAGGGACUGAAUCCUCAUCUUUAGGUUACGUCAGGGGGAAGGGAGCAGUAAGGACCUGUCUGAGGUAGGGAGCGGGCCCCAAGGAGAAAAGGAAAGGGAAAUGGAGUUGUGAAUCCAGGAAGGCUCAGAGGUGGGUAUUUUCAGUUCAGGCUUCACCAAUAGGGCAAGUAGGAUGUUGUUUUCUGUAUCAAUGUGGUGCUUAUUUAUUUCCUCCCAAAUUAUGCUUACACAAAACAUUUGGGGGCUAAACCAUAUGAUGAAGAAAGCCUUCAUAAAAGUUACUAGACUAAACUGUGAGCCAAACAACUGAAAGAUGUUUGUGGACCAAGCUUUCAUUUCCUUUCUGGAGUACCUGUGCAACACAUGGGGGCUGAGGAGAGGACCAGGUUAAAGAUACUGUGAAAGAGUAGAUGGUCGUGAGGAAGCUCCUGAGGGGUUUCUGUGGAGCCCUUUUGAGGCAGGCUGUCCCUGCAAAGUGCAUGCAAGCCGUUGGUGUCAUCUCUUGAACAGAGGUGAGAGCAGCUCAAUUGGGACCUCAGGGGCUGAAGAAUACCAAUGCCUGAAGGCAGAUCUGAAAAUAUAUAAGAGAGAAGAACUAAAAUUGGUAAGGAAAAUAAAGAAAGGAUGUGUCUAUUAGACCUUCCUGAAUCUAAGCAUUGCUUGUCCUGCUCAUCUCAUUUACUCCAGAAAUGUGUCUCCCUGGUGUUAUGGCAAACUUUUUCCCAUUAGCAGCUUGGGUACCUCUCCCCAGAUGGACUGCACACCUACCAAAGAAGGGGCAAUGUAUUUUCCUAAUCUGCAGCUUUUAUGGUCCCCUGGACAGCUUUAAAGCAAAUCAAGCUCUACCUGGAGGAGAGGAAAUACAGUGCAAGUUUUCACAGGCCACUCAGGACCGCACAUCCACUUAUUGUCAUUGUGAUAUGGCCAGUUUGGAAGCAGCAGUGAAAUGUAAUUGGGAUAAGAUAUAAGCAAAGGGAAGAAUCUGCUUUUUCCAUGUACAAUACUUUUUUUUUUUUUAAAUGGUAUUUAUUUCUGACUUUAAAGCAAUUCCUUGUAUUUUGUUCCAGUCUUGACCAUAUGGCUCCAACAGCUCUGAUAACUACUGUUUCUGAUGUUUUAAUAUGACGUAGCCAUAAACUGAAUCUUUUUUUUUUCUUUAAUGUACCCUUUUUAAUUGGUCUAAAGGCUAAACUUUUGAAUGCCAUUACUCAUUUGCCUGCUGAACUUGAUGGUAGAAAUCAAGUUUGCUUAUUUAAUAUUUGCUUUGAUUUGGUGAUUAGUCAUUGUUCUUAAUUAUUUUUUACCAUUUCCACAUGAGUGAUCAGGAAAUGAAUUGCUAUCUCACACUUUCAGCAAGUUAAAAAGAGCCAACUAUGGUAUUUCCUUAUUGACUUUUUACUUGCCCCUGUGCAGAAUGUUUUAAGAUGUUGUUCCUCUUGAAUCUCCCACUUCACAGCUUGAGUAAUACCACAGCUUUUAAAAAUGUUUCCCUUCUGACUUGCCAAGGUGAUGAAGACAAGUAAAGUCAUCCAGCAUAAAAGGUAUACAUGAACAAAACAUGAAUUGAAGGUGCGGGUCAAGUUACAAACCAAACAAGAACAAUAUUAGAACCAGUUUUGGAGGCUGAGGAGACCAGUCUUGUGGUACACAUCUGCAAUGAGAAAUAAUACCAUCCUGGGAUCCUGUGUGAUGUUUAUGUACUGAUAGCAAAUCCUCUUAAAAAAUAAAAAUAAAUAGUUUAUUCUGCCUCUUUU